GGUAACACUGAAUGGAGGACCGAACCGACUUACGUUGAAAAGUGAGCGGAUGAACUGAGGGUAGCGGAGAAAUUCCAAUCGAACCUGGAGAUAGCUGGUUCUCUCCGAAAUAGCUUUAGGGCUAGCCUCAAGUGAUGAUUAUUGGAGGUAGAGCACUGUUUGGACGAGGGGCCCCUCUCGGGUUACCGAAUUCAGACAAACUCCGAAUGCCAAUUAAUUUAACUUGGGAG
rnacentral:rRNA from 1 species